rnacentral:lncRNA from 1 species
UCGACAUGCCAAACGUACUUCGACUACACUGCUCCACGAUUCAGGUACAUACUCUGCACACUUUACUCAUAUACAUAUAUCUUGGAUUAUGCAGAAUAUUGUCUCCGACAUGAUAAAUUAAAAAGAUUAAAAUAUCUCUAAUCAUGAUUAAUCUCACUCUGUGAUAUUUCCUGAAAACUUGCAACUAUUGAAAAUCAUUUUAAAACCCUGUGCUGCUUGAGUCACUGUGGAAUGUAAGAUGGUAGAGUAUGAGUAUCUUAUUCUUGAUAUCAUUGCUGCUUGGAGAAUUUAUUUUAAAAUCUUUAAAAAUUCUAGCUACCAUCCUCAGUGUUUUAUAUGCCUGAUAAACCUAAAAAUAUUAAUAUGAUGAUUAUAAAAGCUAUCUACUCUGUGUUGAGUUUGUUCAAAAUGAGUUAGACCCUUGUUGAGAGAUUUAUCAUACUCCUAAGAUCAAGACAUUUAUUCAAAAAGAUUCACUCUUCCGAAGUAUUAUUGCAUUAGAGGCAUGGGCUAUGCAAAAAUAUGAAUAUUUUGAGGAAAUAAAAAGGAGCAAGUGCUCGAUAACCUCGCAGAAAAAAUGGACAAGUGUCCGGCAGUAGAAUUAGGGGUACCUCGGUAUCCACCUGAAAAAAAAAGAAAAGAGAGAAAGAAGAAAAUGAUAGCCCAUGGUCCCUCUAAUAAGCAAUAUGCCAGUAAGAGUUGACAAGUUUUUAAUUUCCAAAGUCUUUGAUCUAAGAGUAUGGCAUUCCUCUCCUUGGAUCCUGUUUUGAUCAGGCAAGAAAUGCAAGGUAAGUAUGCUUGAGAAUUUUUGCAAAUUAAAACAGCCUCAGUGAGAUAUAUAAUAGAUAAUGAGUGACUUGAGAGAACCUAUGAGGAUAAAGGUAUGCUAAAUUUCUUUUCAAAAACAUACAAAAACUCCAAGUGACAGGAUUG